CAUUUGGCUAACAAAUCGAAAAUGUCAUAACUAUUCCUAACCUAACCCCAAAAUACUAAAUUUAUUUGUUGAAUGAUAUUUUGCAAACAUCAACAUGGUUGUUGAUAAAAGUCCAAUAUCAGGCACUGUCUUAGAGCAGUUUGUCCUAUUGGCCAAAAGUGCGAAAGGUGCCGCAUGUACAGAAUUAGUGAAACAAGUUCUAGAAGCACCUGGUGUAUAUGUUUUUGGUGAACUAUUAGAUAUGCCCAACAUCUCAGAACUAGCCACAACUGAUAGAAAGUACUUUAACACGCUUGAAUUAUUCGCUUUCGGCACAUAUAAAGAUUACAUAGCAAAUAAAAAUGAAGUUCUAGAGUUGUCACCCGCUCAGACGAAGAAAUUGCAACAUCUUACUAUAGUCACUCUAGCUACAAAAUCCAAGUGCAUACCAUAUAACACAUUGCUAAUUGAGCUGGAUAUCAAAAAUGUUAGGGACUUAGAAGAUCUGAUUAUUGAAGCGAUAUAUGCCGAUAUCAUACAUGGAAAACUCGAUCAGAAAAAUAGUCAGCUUGAAAUAGAUUACGCUAUUGGUAGAGAUAUUCGUAAUGAUGAUAUUAAUAUUAUUGUUAAUUGUUUGCAAGAUUGGUGUUCAGCAUGUGAAGGUGUCCUAAGCUGCGUGGAAAACCAAAUCCACAGAGCCAACACAGAGAAAAACCGCUGCAUGCAACGCAAAACCGAGGUAGAAAACGAAAUAGUCAAUAUAAAAAAGACAUUGAAGACUCAGCUUCAAGAACGAUCUGAUGGAACUGAUGAAGUCAUGGCUACCGAUAGUCGAGAAUCGGGGUCGUCUGGAGAGAAAGGCAAGAAAUCACAGAAGAUGAAAGGUCUUAAGAUUCUUCGUUAACAUGAACUUUUCUCAAAGGUGAUACAUGAAAAAUGGUCUAGGCGCGAUUCGUAAAACUUGUUGCAGGUCUUUUAAGAAUUAUAACAAUCAACGAAGUAUACAGAAUGUCCAGAGACUCUCCCGAUAAACGAAGACGGGAGAUUCCUCAAAUAAUUUUAAGACAAUUUAACCCAAUUCACCUAAUCCGAAAAUGCUUCCUAAGGGAGCUAAAGGUCUUUGAAGAUGGCGCUUUGUAAUUAGUUUUUUAAAUACCUCCAAAAUGCUUCUAUUUAGAAAAACUAUAUUUAUUAUAUUUAGAAAAACGAAAAAUUUUCAAAUCGAUUUUUCUAAAAAACAUUGUAUUGUACUGACUUAAAGCGAGAGUACCUUUUAGCCUUGUUUAUAUCUUAUCUAAUAGUUGGUUAGACCAAUAGGUAAAUUUGUUUGAUUCUAAUUGAGACAGUCAACAGAUGUCACCACAAUUUCUGUCAGGGUCGCAACGUCACGCGUAACUAAGGAGGUACAGUACAACCUCGUUUAACCGGACUAACUGGGACCGGAAGCGAUCCGGUAAAUCGAAAAUCCGGAAAUAUAAUAAGGUUAAUAAAUCUACAUGUGAAAUGAUAACUUACUAUAUUUACACCCUAUAUGAUUUACGCAAGCAUUAGUUUUUAUUUACAAAAAAGUCAUUGAUCUUCCUUUGUUUUAAUUUUGUGUGACGUUUCAAUGCGGCACGAUCACGUAAACGUGAUCGCAUUACAUACAUACAUACAAUUAUCAAAAUUAGUUUUUUUUUUAUUUUUUCAUUCCGGAUUGAUUCGGAUAAUCCGGACAUCCGGAUGAAAGAGGUCUGGAUUAACGAGGUUGUACCAUCCAAAAUGCAUAGACACCAAGUUGGAUACGAUCCUAUUCAUAACACCCAAACCCGCAUACAUUUUAUGAAAAAUAAAUAUAUGGAAGAAUAUAUUUAGAAAUUGAAUUAAUGAUGUCAUGCUUCUAUACAUUAUAUAAUAGCAUGCCAUCAUUAAUUCAAUUUGUAAGUAUAGUAUUUUUACUACAAAAACGUUAUUACGUAGGUCAAAAUUUUUGACGUAAGAGAACUGUCAAAACAUUAGAAUGUGACUUUUCAUUAUUGCCAUGUUUAUAAUAAACAUGACAAUAAUGAAAGUCACAUUCUAAUGUUUUGACAGUUCUCUUACGUCAAAAAUUUUGACCUACGUAAUAACGUUUUUGUAGUAAAAAUACUAUAUGUAUAUUCUUCCAUAUUUAUUUUUCUUAAUAUGUAUGCGAGUCGGAUGUUAUGAAUAGGAGCGACCCUGACAAAAAUGGUGGUGACAUCUGACUGUCUCAAUUAGAAUCAAAUAAAUUUAUCUAUUGGGUUGACCAACUAUUACUAUAUAAACAAUGCUUUUAGUAAUAGACCUCACAAGUUAAUAACCUAAUGUCACAAAUACAUAAAAGUUAUAUGUUAAAAUAAUCGUUGACCUACCCAAAACGGACGGCUAUGGUCGGUACUAGAAAUUCGUAAUUGACGGAAUCGAUUCAUCUCUGAAGGAUAAAAUAAAUAAGUAUAAGUGUACCAGUUUUCGUUUUUCUAAAUAGAAGCGUUCUGGAGGUAUUUAAAAAAACUAAUUACCAGGCGCCAUCUUUAAAGAGCUCUAGCUUAAGCUGAGCAUUCACGGUCAAUCCAUUUGGAGCCACGCCAAAUGGCUUCAGUCAAAUGGAUUGACGCCAAAAUCGUAGCCCAUUCACGACCACUCCACAUUGUCGGAUUCCGAAGAAGAACUCGGAUAGAGUGAACGAAAAAUGGACGUGGGUUUGGACAUUGACGCGAGUGUGGCGUGAUGGCAUGACGCGGUGUAUAGUCACUCACGAGCAGUCGGCAUGAUGGCUUGGCGUCAAGCAACGGCAUGACGCGAUGUAUUACGAAGCGAAUGGAAAUCCGGAUUUUGCAUCACGCCAAAAAAGCAAUCAUAAUUCAACACUCACGGUCAAAAUUUGGCUGUGUAUCACGCCAUUUGACGCGAUAGCAUGACCGUAAAUGUCCACCUUUAGGAAGCAUUUUAGGACUAGGUGAAUUGGUUUAAACUGUCUUCUUUUAUCAGGAGACUUUCUGGAUACUCUGUAUAUCAAUAGAUUUUAGUACAUAAAAUACAACACUUAUGGUCAGAACAAGUUGAAAUGAAUUCAAAGUUAAAUGAUUAACCGGAAGAUUUUUAUAUUUCUUGAAAUUUGAGUGACUAAGGAAACAUUUUCAUGUAUCAUUUUUGAAUUGUCUUAGGUUAUCACUUAAUAAAGCUACAAUUAUAAUUGCGAAAAUAUAUUAAAUAAUAAAAAACA
rnacentral:misc_RNA from 1 species